rnacentral:rRNA from 1 species
GUGGGGAAUCUUAGACAAUGGGCGCAAGCCUGAUCUAGCCAUGCCGCGUGAGCGAUGAAGGCCUUAGGGUUGUAAAGCUCUUUCGUGGGGGAAGAUAAUGACUGUACCCCAAGAAGAAGCCCCGGCUAACUCCGUGCCAGCAGCCGCGGUAAUACGGAGGGGGCUAGCGUUGUUCGGAAUUACUGGGCGUAAAGCGCACGUAGGCGGACUGGAAAGUCAGGGGUGAAAUCCCGGGGCUCAACCCCGGAACUGCCUUUGAAACUCCCAGUCUUGAGUUCGAGAGAGGUGAGUGGAAUUCCGGGUGUAGAGGUGAAAUUCGUAGAUAUUCGGAGGAACACCAGUGGCGAAGGCGGCUCACUGGCUCGAUACUGACGCUGAGGUGCGAAAGCGUGGGGAGCAAACAGGAUUAGAAACCCCGGUAGUCC